GCAGCCGCGGUAAUACGUAGGGAGCGAGCGUUGUCCGGAAUUACUGGGUGUAAAGGGUGCGUAGGCGGGUAUGCAAGUCACAUGUGAAAUACCGGGGCUCAACUCCGGGGCUGCAUGAGAAACUGUAUAUCUUGAGUGCAGAAGAGGUAAGCGGAAUUCCUAGUGUAGCGGUGAAAUGCGUAGAUAUUAGGAGGAACACCAGUGGCGAAGGCGGCUUACUGGGCUGUAACUGACGCUGAGGCACGAAAGCGUGGGGAGCAAACAGGAUUAGAUACCCC
rnacentral:rRNA from 1 species